rnacentral:misc_RNA from 1 species
GAUGAAGAACGCAGCGAAAUGCGAUAAGUAAUGUGAAUUGCAGAAUUCAGUGAAUCAUCGAAUCUUUGAACGCACAUUGCGCCCGCCAGUAUUCUGGCGGGCAUGCCUGUUCGAGCGUCAUUACAACCCUCAGGCCCCCGGGCCUGGCGUUGGGGAUCGGCGGAGCCCCCCGUGGGCACACGCCGUCCCCCAGAUGCAGUGGCGGUCCCGCCGCAGCUUCCAUCGCGUAGUAGCUAACACCUCGCGACUGGAGAGCGGCGCGGCCACGCCGUAAAACACCCAACUCUUCUGAAGUUGACCUCGAAUCAGGUAGGAAUACCCGCUGAACUUAAGCAUAUCAAUAAGCGGAGGA